rnacentral:rRNA from 1 species
CAGAGUUUGAUCCUGGCUCAGAGCGAACGCUGGCGGCAGGCCUAACACAUGCAAGUCGAGCGCCCGUAGCAAUACGGGAGCGGCAGACGGGAGAGUAACACGUGGGAACGUACCCUUCAGUUCGGAAUAACCCAGGGAAACUUGGACUAAUACCGAAUACGUCCGUAAGGAGAAAGAUUUAUCGCUGAAGGAUCGGCCCGCGUCUGAUUAGCUAGUUGGUGAGGUAACGGCUCACCAAGGCGACGAUCAGUAGCUGGUCUGAGAGGAUGAUCAGCCACAUUGGGACUGAGACACGGCCCAAACUCCUACGGGAGGCAGCAGUGGGGAAUAUUGGACAAUGGGCGCAAGCCUGAUCCAGCCAUGCCGCGUGAGUGAUGAAGCUUCUCGGAGUGUAAACCCCUUUCGACCCGGACGAAUGCCCCGCAAGGGGACUGACGGUACGGGUAUAAGAAGCCCCGGCUAACUACGUGCCAGCAGCCGCGGUAAUCA